GGAGGGAGACGCGCGGAGGUGGGGAGGUGGGUACCCCCAGUCCUUCCACUCCCUUCCUUCGUGCAGGGGCACCCGGAUUCCCUAUUCCUCUUUUGACCCAACACGCAGGCACUCACGGGGUCCCACGCCCACCUCUGUCUAGGGGCCGUCGCUCCAGAAAAAGUUGAGGAGGAAUCCCUGAGAGAGAGCAGAGCAACAACAUGGAAGGAAGCCCAUCUCUGAUCGACCAGGUGGAGCAGAGCUGCCUGCUCUGGAACUGCUCCAUCUAGACUGUUACAUGAGAAAUAAACUUGGUUUCUAUGUG